GGAAGAACCUUCAUAAAUUGGAUUGGUUCAUGGGUCUGACAAUGUGAGCCUUUGAUACAAAUAUACAUUGUACAAAUGUAUACUGCUUUGUGCUUCUUAGCAGUCUGCUCCACAUCAUCGAAGCUUUUCCUCUUGCUUCCAGACAUCCUGGGCUCUGACUGAGCACUGUGCUACUGUGCACUAUCGCACUGUACAGACAGUAGCACAACCGUGACAAUGUCCAGAGACAUGUGAGCUACUUCCGUGAUUUGUUUGCAUCUAUUCCUAAGACAGAUACACCAUCAGAUAACAGCACCUCUGCAGCUGCCGGAAUCUGCCUGGAAUACCAAUUGCAGGCAGUUCUGGUGGGAGCCAUCAUGGUGGAGGAGAGGGAGAAGGAGGGAGCAGCUGUUCUUAUCUUGGUGGACUGAAGCCUGUCAGUCUGAGAAGGUGCCAUUCAGAAGUGUGGGCCCACUCCUUUUUCACCUUUCUCUUGUGGGGAGGGAGUACAGGUGCCAGCGAGGAGAGGGAAGGAGCUAGAGAACAAGCUAAUUUUUAGAGAUACUUCCUGUGUUCCAGGCAGAUUAGCU
rnacentral:lncRNA from 1 species